rnacentral:rRNA from 1 species
UGGGGAAUAUUGGACAAUGGGGGAAACCCUGAUCCAGCAAUGCCGCGUGAGUGAAGAAGGCCCUAGGGUUGUAAAACUCUUUCAACGGUGACGAUGAUGACGGUAACCGUAGAAGAAGCUCCGGCUAACUCCGUGCCAGCAGCCGCGGUAAUACGGAGGGGGCUAGCGUUGUUCGGAAUUACUGGGCGUAAAGAGCACGUAGGCGGUGUGGCAAGUUAGAGGUGAAAGGCCUGGGCUCAACCUGGGAACUGCCUUUAAUACUGCCACGCUAGAGUCCGGGAGAGGGUGGCGGAAUUCCAAGUGUAGAGGUGAAAUUCGUAGAUAUUUGGAAGAACACCGGUGGCGAAGGCGGCUACCUGGACCGGUACUGACGCUGAGGUGCGAAAGCGUGGGGAGCGAACAGG